UGGGGAAUAUUGGACAAUGGGCGAAAGCCUGAUCCAGCCAUGCCGCGUGUGUGAAGAAGGUCUUCGGAUUGUAAAGCACUUUAAGUUGGGAGGAAGGGCAGUAAGCGAAUACCUUGCUGUUUUGACGUUACCGACAGAAUAAGCACCGGCUAACUCUGUGCCAGCAGCCGCGGUAAUACAGAGGGUGCAAGCGUUAAUAGGAAUUACUGGGCGUAAAGCGCGCGUAGGUGGUUCGUUAAGUUGAAUGUGAAAGCCCCGGGCUCAACCUGGGAACUGCAUCCAGAACUGGCGAGCUAGAGUAGGGCAGAGGGUGGUGGAAUUUCCUGUGUAGCGGUGAAAUGCGUAGAUGUAGGAAGGAACACCAGUGGCGAAGGCGACCACCUGGGCUCAUACUGACACUGAGGUGCGAAAGCGUGGGGAGCAAACAGG
rnacentral:rRNA from 1 species